AUUGAACGCUGGCGGCAUGCCUUACACAUGCAAGUCGAACGGUAACAGGUCUUCGGAUGCUGACGAGUGGCGAACGGGUGAGUAAUACAUCGGAACGUGCCCGAUCGUGGGGGAUAACGGAGCGAAAGCUUUGCUAAUACCGCAUACGAUCUACGGAUGAAAGCAGGGGACCGCAAGGCCUUGCGCGGACGGAGCGGCCGAUGGCAGAUUAGGUAGUUGGUGGGAUAAAAGCUUACCAAGCCGACGAUCUGUAGCUGGUCUGAGAGGACGGCCAGCCACACUGGGACUGAGACACGGCCCAGACUCCUACGGGAGGCAGCAGUGGGGAAUUUUGGACAAUGGGCGAAAGCCUGAUCCAGCCAUGCCGCGUGCAGGAUGAAGGCCUUCGGGUUGUAAACUGCUUUUGUACGGAACGAAAAGACUCUUUCUAAUAAAGAGGGUCCAUGACGGUACCGGAAGAAUAAGCACCGGCUAACUACGUG
rnacentral:rRNA from 1 species